rnacentral:rRNA from 1 species
UACGUAGGGUGCGAGCGUUAAUCGGAAUUACUGGGCGUAAAGCGUGCGCAGGCGGUGAUGUAAGACCGAUGUGAAAUCCCCGGGCUUAACCUGGGAACUGCAUUGGUGACUGCAUUGCUGGAGUAUGGCAGAGGGGGUGGAAUUCCACGUGUAGCAGUGAAAUGCGUAGAGAUGUGGAGGAACACCGAUGGCGAAGGCAGCCCCCUGGGCCAAUACUGACGCUCAUGCACGAAAGCGUGGGGAGCAAA